GCCAGGCAUGGUGGUUCAUGCCUGUAAUCCUAGAACUUUGGGAGGCUGAGGCAGGUGGAUCAUCUGAGGUCAGGAGUUCGAGACCAGCCUGACCAACAAGGUGAAACCCUGUCUCUA
rnacentral:SRP_RNA from 1 species